GUGGGCGCUAGGUGUGAGGGUCUUUCUACGACUUUCGUGCCGUAGCUAACGCAUUAAGCGCCCCGCCUGGGGAGUACGGCCGCAAGGCUAAAACUCAAAGGAAUUGACGGGGGCCCGCACAAGCGGCGGAGCAUGUGGAUUAAUUCGAUGCAACGCGAAGAACCUUACCUGGGCUUGACAUACACCAGAUUGGGCUAGAGAUAGUUCGUCCCUCUGUGUUGGUGUACAGGUGGUGCAUGGCUGUCGUCAG
rnacentral:rRNA from 1 species